UACGGAGGGUGCAAGCAUUAAUCGGAUUUAUUGGGCGUAAAGGGCGCGUAGGUGGGAUUGUAAGUCGGAUGUGAAAUCCCGAGGCUCAACCUCGGAACAGCAUUCGAAACUGCAAUUCUUGAGGGUAGGCGGAGAAAAUGGAAUUCCACAAGUAGCGGUGAAAUGCGUAGAGAUGUGGAAGAACACCGGUGGCGAAGGCGAUUUUCUAGCUUAUUCCUGACACUGAGGCGCGAAAGCAAGGGGAGCAAACAGG
rnacentral:rRNA from 1 species